GAGAAAAAGAGCUUUUAAAAAUUAUUUUGUUGUUUACUUUCCCAAAACAGAUGGGUUUUAUACCAAUUUUCAUUUCUUUAACAUUAGCUAUUGCUGGCCAGUAGCAUGAGACAAAUCCAGCCUUCAGCACUAGGGCACAUUCAGGCACCCUGACUUACCAAAAUUCCUUUCUACUAACUUAGGCUGAACCAGCGUUUCCCCAGCAGUUCUGGUGGCUCCCCCCGUCAUUUCCCGGCUCCGAGCAGCCCCCGCAGCUCCCCUCGCAGGCCCCGCCGGGGGGGGGGGGGGGGGGGGGGGGGGGGGGGGGGGGGGGGGGGGGGGGGGGGGGGCCGCCGCGGCCGCUCCCCUGAGGCCCGGCCCGCCCCGGCCGCUCCCGCUCGGCGCCGGGGGCUCUGCUGUGGCUCGGCCCGGCGGGGCAGUGGCCACCGUCCUCCCCGACCUCACGGGCGUUCGGCCCCUCAGGUGUUUGAGCCCCUUCUCUAGGCUGAGGACCUCCGAGCCGCUUUCCUUAAGAGAGAUGCACAGAAUUAGCUCACAUGUAGCGGUGUUCCUCAGAAAAGGUCCUCUCCUCACUGUGUCCUGAGCCUGCAUAGAACAUGGCACUUUCUCCUUCCAUUCAGAGCCAUGAACGUGAGGAUGCUCAGUGUCUUUGGGGAUCCACUUGAUACUUUACAGAACUGUGUCUAAAUCUGCUCAUGGCUGGUACUGGUGAACUAUUCUCUACAAUGCAACGUGGAAGGGUCUAAUUUCUGAGUUGCAGUUAGGGGGAUGUUACUAACACUCUCAAUGUGAGUCAGUCUCCAAGCCCCUAAGGGCAGGACAGAAAGUCAGAAUGACAAACAUAAAAAUAGUUUUGAUAACUAAUAUUUAAUAUUUUACCUUUUUCUCCCUGCUUUACGUUGCUUUCCUGCUAAAACAGCUGGGAUGAAAAUGACUUUCAUUGGUCUUUAGGGAAACAGCUUUUUGUUAUAUUUCCAUUACAUUUUGUUGUAUUUCCAUGAACCCUGGAAACUGCAGAUAAAUUCCUUUGUCGGGAAGACAUACUCAAGGUUCCAGGGACAAAACUGAUAUUUGCCUCAUGGGUUAAUAGCAUUAAUAAUUGCCAUUUUGAUAAGUCUAAAUAUAAAAAGCCUGCUUAAACAAAAGAGUCAACCCUUCAAAAAUGACUAUCCAUGAUAAAUUUUCAAGAGCAAUGAAAAUUGUCACUCUGCCAACUUGAUAAAUUGUAGCCCCAACUGGCAGAGCCAUUUGCCUUGCAGUAAGCACAAAAUGACAGAUAUUUGCUGAAUACAAACUAUGUGCUUGCACCUUUCACAGCUGGUUUAGCUUGUAAACGCAGCAAAAAAAAAAAGAGGCGUUAAUAAAAACUGAAGGUUAUGCACAAAAAAAAAUGGUUUCACGUCUAUGUGGUUUCUCUCAGUUUUCAAAGACAUUUCUUUCAUUUUGGUAAGUAGUCUUGAAAGAAACCCUCCAGCAGUUUGUGGGAUCAUGCUUUAAAAAUACAUGUACAGCCAUGCUGUGGUGGUCUCUUCACUACUACUGAAAUGAUUCAACAGUGCAAGUACAAUCAUUUCAGGCAGAGAAAAAUCAUGUUUAGUAACACCUCAGCAUUUACCAGAACACACGCACAUCCCUCAUAUAUGUAGAAGAUAUGGAUCCUUGUACUGAACUGUGUAUCAUGAUGCAAAUAAAUACAGCACCUACUCUAAUUCCACUGUUUAGUUGUUGAUCUGUCUCUCUUGAUGACUCAUCUUCCAAGUUGCAGAGCACCUUUUACAUGCUCUUUUCUUUCUCUUUUUUAGAAAAAAAGGAAUUGUUCAGAGAUAUGUUCAAUUCUUCAAUAAAUGGAAUCCCAUCUUGAAAAAAAAUAAAAACCCUCGCUUGCCUGAAGCCACUUUUGCAUAAUAUGUACAUUAUACAGACACAGUGAACUUGAUAUCUGUGGCUUUAUGUUGCUUUUGAAGGCUUUAUGCCUUCAAAAGGAGAUUUCCAUGUACUUGACACAAGCAGUCACUCCUAGUCCUAGGAAAACUUGAUAUUAAAAAUGUACAAAUGUAAAGAUGUGAUACACAUGAGCUAUUUUAGGGUGAGCUUAAGGAUUCUUAGUUCUCCUGAGCCACAGUAGACUCACCUCUGACUAGCACACAGCUUGAUGAGCAAGAAUUGUACAAAGCUCUUCCAACUGCCUGAUAAUAAUCUGCCUGUAACAGAUAUUGCAAUGGACAACAGAGGUUUACUGUAAAAUCUUCUUGGUCUGUCCUGUCCAGUUCAGAGGGGUUUUUUUUUCUCUUUAAAAAGAUACCUCCAAGCAGCUUAUUUUAUGUUCUAGUAAAACACAGCUUCAAAGAUCAGAAGGCUUCUGGUACAUUUUGACGUGUUCACUUCAAAGAAAACUCUUGAAGCUCCACCUCAGGGCUCUGGCUGACUCGGUACCUCCA
ensembl:lncRNA